rnacentral:tRNA from 1 species
GGGGAUAUAGCUCAGUUGGUAGAGUGGCUUUCUUGCAUGCACAAGGCCCUGGGUUCAAUCCCCAGCACUACCA